rnacentral:misc_RNA from 1 species
GAAAUGCGAUAAGUAAUGUGAAUUGCAGAAUUCAGUGAAUCAUCGAAUCUUUGAACGCACAUUGCGCCCGUUAGUAUUCUAGCAGGCAUGCCUGUUCGAGCGUCAUUUCAACCCUCAAGCACUGCUUGGUGUUGGGGCCCUACGGUUUCGUAGACCCCGAAAAUCAGUGGCGGACUCGCUGAAGCCUCCUUUGCGCAGUAUUAUCAUCUCGCACUGGGGCCCGGCGGGCUUUCUUGCCGUAAAACCCUUCAUAACUUAUCAAGGUUGACCUCGGAUCAGGUAGGAAUACCCGCUGAACUUAA